UUUCCCUCUAAGCGUAGUUCCUAAUUAUGCCUUGACCACUCUUUAUUGCCGUUUGUGUUUCAACCGUGAAAAUUAAUUUUGGACUUUUAUUUUUUCAUUACUGGCUCAAUGUGCCAUUUGUUUGACGGUCAAGGUCUCGCGUAGCUACUAAGCUUUGCAAUUAUUGACGUAGGUCAUGAUGAAGCUUUAGUUUUCUUCUUCCCACUUUUGUUCGCAAUAAUCGCAUACUCAUAUGCGUUCCGCGAUUAUUGCUGUAUCGGAGACGUGAUUAAUCCUAUACAAUUUGGCGAUGCCUGUCAUCAGUGGAUUAAUAUUUGUGUCAUCAUCUAUCUUGUCAUCUUGUCACUUGUCAUCUUUUGUGAUAUUUAGCUGUAAAAGUUAAAUUCAUGUAAUGAUGUGAAAUAACAAAAAUUUGAUCAUGUAUUAGUAAACUAAAAGAGAGAGAGAAAAAAAAAAAAACGUUCCUGUUUCGAACCUUAGAUCCUCUGAUCUUUGGUUUCGCUGUUUACUUUGAGUCCAGUUGUGAGGAACUCGAAUGAAAAGGUAUUUUAUUGAUGUUAUUUUAUGUGAUCAACUCACGUGUUUGACCCACUGUGAGUUGAUAUAUUUUUAGGUUUCCAUUCCAAUUGGAAAAUUUUCGAUGGACUUGAUUCACUGGUAUGUGUGAAACCGUGUCAAUCGACUAAUAAAAAUGCAAUUAUGCAUUAUUGAUUGUCGUCAUUCUUAAUUUGUUUCGGUAUGGGCAGUACGGGUCGGUACCCCUGGUUUUUUAGUUUGAUUUGUUCAUUAAAUUAAAAAAAAAUUCUGAGGUUAUCUUAGUGGCGUGUGACUAGCCACGGAUUAGAAUGUAGUGUCGUAGUAGUGGAAUAUUCUGUGCCAGAAAGUGGAAUAUUCUGUGCCAGAAUAGUGUGGUGAACAGUCCGCUAUGGCGGUGAGGUUGGAUGGGUUGAAUCCUGUUGCUGGUUCCAGUGCCCUGUGAGCUGCUCCCUGUCCGUGGGAUCUAUUGCGAUUGGAUUUCGAAAACUUGAAUUCGCGUAACACUGGUCAACAGUCGAUCUCGGAUUGUUUCGACCAUCUUCGAGGAGGAGCCCUUAGAAAUAUUGGACUUGCAUGUUUCGUGGCAUUCACUUUCGUUGAUUUGGGUCUGUUUUUUCGAUACGUCAAAGUCACUUAAGCACGCUCUUUUGCGCUGUCACCAAUGAAGCGGAAUACGUACCGAGUGGUUAGACACUAUUACUGCUGGAUGUGAUAUGUCCUUUGAUUAACUGCACUACAUCUGCUCGAUUUUAAUUACUUUUAAUCUAUCAGUUAAGUUGAAAAAAUAUUAAAUCACUUAAACACUAAACCGAAACUUAAACAACGGGCAUCACUUCUGCCUCGCGGAAUAAAACUUAAGAGUUAACACCUAAACGAACCGCGGACUAUCUAUAACGACGUAGGCACCUGCCUCACGAGGGGUAUCACUAUAACGACCUCGGACUUCCUUGAAGUCCCAGCUUAAGUAUUCGCCGCUACUCCGGUCACUCCGAAUUUUCCCGCGGCGUCGUCUUCUCACGAGAGCGGGCCGCUCUUCCGUCUCUUUCCUCGCGAACGUGCCCGUGCACGGCUGAUGCAAUCGUUGUUGACUUUUUCGUAAAUCCGCUCGGUUGCAUGUUUUGAUUAAACAUCCGCGAAUUGGAGUUUUUUGCUGUAAAUAUAAACUUAAAACAUUCGAACUUGCGUUCGAUUUAAUAACUGAGGUAUUGUUUUUGCCUCCAUAAUCAAAACAAUACCUUCUUUGAUUAUGAUCCACUUUUCAUAUUUUCAUAACAUGAGUGGUGGAUGGAAUUUCAAGUUUCAACACUUGCGAUGUUGAAACAAAUUGACAAGAGAAAUGAUUUCAUCAUCUUGUCCAUGCAUAUUAAUGACAAGUUUUUCCAAAGAUGUUUUUUCCAUUUAGGAUUUUUCUUAAUCCUUCUUUGGAAGAGAAUGGAAAUUAAUUGUAACCGCCUAAAAUCAGGUCGGC